rnacentral:lncRNA from 1 species
UUUUAUUAUUUUUUUAGUGUAAUGAUAAUCCAAUAAUUGAUUUUUAUUAUUUUUUAGUGUUUUUUUUUGUUGUAAAUUUGUGUUUGUUAUGAAUUUUUUAAUUUUAUUUAGAGUAAUUAUAUUUUCCCUUUUUUUUUAUCGGAUCUCAUUGGAAACUAAUGUAUGUGUCUCUUUUCAUUUCAGAAACUUUGUGACAAACCUUUAAUCUGUAGACUAAUUUGGAUUGCUAAGUAAGACA